AAAUAAAAAAAAAAAUUAAAAGAUCGCUGCUUCUCCUACUCUCUCCCUCCUUUUCUAUAUUAGGAUUGUUGCAUGGUUCAGAUUGGUUUCUGGAAAUCAGGAGGAACUGAUGAAGUUGGCGUCUGGAUUUCGAGGGGAGGUUGAAUUCUUUAAUGUUUCUGAUGAGAUGGGAGAAAUAUCGAAGUGAGGAAGAAGCAGCUCUUGGUCGUGGGAAGCGCAUGCGGAAAGCUGUUUCUUACAGGGAAGCAUAUGUUGCACACCCAAAUGAAACGUUGCGUGACGUACUCAAGUAUAGAACCUGGGUAUCAAUCAAGGACUGAUAUCAAUUCUGCACCAAGUCCCAAAAGGUCAUUUUGGGGUAUAUUGGAGAGGAGGUUUUCAUCUCAAAUUGCCUCUAGUCAUCCAUUUUGAACCCGUUCAAGUGACCUCGUAGACUGAUCAGGUAAGGGAUAUUCCAUGUGGUACAAAAGGGGGUGUCAUGAUCAAUUUUGACAAGAUUGAGGUAAGGCUAUGCGAUAUUAUUCUUUAGUGUUUGUAUAUUAGUUUCACUAAGUUGAAGGUCUUGAAAAACUUCAUUUAAUAAAUCCAAAAUGUGUAUUCAUUUAGGUGUCGUUUGAUAACCAUUUGGUUUUUAGUUUCAAGUUUUUGUUUAGAUUUAUUUUUGGGCAUUUACAAUAACUUUAUUUUAGUACAUGUAGAUUUAAUAUUACAAUUUAGUAUAAAUUUAUAUAUCAUCUUCUUCUUAGGUUCUUCAAGCAUUUAGUUUCUUAGAAUAUCAUUUUUGAAAAAAGCUGGAGUAGUGCAUUUUAUAGUGUGGUCUAACUUCCUUUUCAUUGAAGUGGGAUUUUUGAGAGGGACUGGUGGAUCUCUGAAAAGGAACUUGGUGGAAAUUCCUUAUAACACUGUUCUAUUUCAGAAGUUGUGAAUUAUAUGCAAAUGGUUGACAAAUUGGAUGAUGAAACCAUGGCAAUAGAAUUUAGGUGUAUUCGGAAUACAAAGUAGUAUACUAAGUGGUAUAUGUGGUUUAUAUUUUCUAUACUUUUUCUUAUAAUCUCUUAUGCCUUAGUCUAAUUAGUUUCUUGAAUUCGAUCUGUUUUUGUAGAAACUUGGUUGCAAGGCAAGUUGGAAACGCACAAAAGUUUGAUCGCGUCCUAUAGAAUUGUUAGAGAAGGUCAUCUCCAUUUCACACAAAAUCAGACUUCUUUCUGUACACAAAAACACUAGGUAAACACGCAUUAUCCUUAUUUUGUUCAUGAUAUAAUUCUAUUGUCUAUAAAUUUAUUUCAAUUUUUUUUCCCUUGCCUGGGAUGCUUCCUUAAUGACCAACAUAGUAGGGGACAACUUUUAGUGUUGCAGUAAACAACAUUUCCCAUUAAUGUUUUUGGACAUGAAGCAAUUUGUGUUUUUUCGUAUCCAAAGAACUUCGUAAUAUUUUUAAUAGACGAAAUAGGUUUCUCUUUUGAUA